UCCUACGGGAGGCAGCAGUAGGGAAUAUUGCACAAUGGAGGAAACUCUGAUGCAGCGAUGCCGCGUGAGUGAAGAAGGCCUUUGGGUUGUAAAGCUCUUUCGUCGGGGAAGAAAAUGACUGUACCCGAAUAAGAAGGUCCGGCUAACUUCGUGCCAGCAGCCGCGGUAAUACGAAGGGACCUAGCGUAGUUCGGAAUUACUGGGCUUAAAGAGUUCGUAGGUGGUUGAAAAAGUUAGUGGUGAAAUCCCAGAGCUUAACUCUGGAACUGCCAUUAAAACUUUUCAGCUAGAGUAUGAUAGAGGAAAGCAGAAUUUCUAGUGUAGAGGUGAAAUUCGUAGAUAUUAGAAAGAAUACCAAUUGCGAAGGCAGCUUUCUGGAUCAUUACUGACACUGAGGAACGAAAGCAUGGGUAGCGAAGAGGAUUAGAUACCCUCGUAGUCCAUGCCGUAAACGAUGUGUGUUAGACGUUGGAAAUUUAUUUUCAGUGUCGCAGCGAAAGCGAUAAACACACCGCCUGGGGAGUACGACCGCAAGGUUAAAACUCAAAUGAAUUGACGGA
rnacentral:rRNA from 1 species